rnacentral:rRNA from 1 species
AUUUGGUAGCUUGCUAUUGAACUCGGAAAGCGGCGAAAGGGAGAGUAACGCGUAGUUACGUGCCCAGGGGUUCGGAAUAGCCACGGGAAACUGUGGGUAAUGCCGAAUAACAUCUCCGGAUCAAAGGUGUGAUUCCGCCCCUGGAGCGGACUGCGUCCUACUAGCUUGUUGGCGGGGUAAUGGCCCACCAAGGCAACAAUGGGUAGCGGGUGUGAGAGCAUGACCCGUCUCACUGGGACUGAGACACUGCCCAGACACCUACGGGUGGCUGCAGUCGAGAAUCUUCGGCAAUGGGCGAAAGCCUGACCGAGCGACGCCGCGUGCGGGAUGAAGGCCCUCGGGUUGUAAACCGCUGUCGUAGGGGAGGAAGGCUCCGUGAAGAACGGGGUUUGACCUAUCCUAGGAGGAAGUACGGGCUAAGUUCGUGCCAGCAGCCGCGGUAAUACGAACCGUACAAACGUUAUUCGGAAUCACUGGGCUUAAAGGGUGCGUAGGCGGCCAAGUAAGUGAGGUGUGAAAUCCCUCGGCUCAACCGAGGAACUGCGCUUCAUACUGCUUGGCUUGAGGGAGAC